UUUUUUUUUUUUUUUUUUUUGAGGGGGUGAGUGAAAAGGAAUCUUUAUUCUACUCUACAUCUUACAAAUGAGAAAACUGAAAUGGAAUAUCUCCCCUUUUUUAAAUAGGGUUUUUCUUGCUGGCACAGCCUGUUCUAUUGAGGUCAGUUCCAAAGUCGUAUUCUAGUACUCAGUUAUCAAGUUUCCGAAAAUGAGCAUGAACCCCAGAACAUUUUGCCUUUUUCUUACUUCUUCCCCAAUUAAUGGAUAAUCAAUCCUAUCUCUUUAUAUAAGAUUAAUAGCAGCAACAAAAAUAGAUGCCUCUCAUUAUUAUAAUUUAGAGUUACCAGGUGUGGAAAGCAGUAAGAAGGGAUGAGAAAAUCACAAAAUAAUGAUAAUGCAUGCUUUUUUUGUACUCUUACUACAUACAAUUUGGCUUACUCCUCAAAACCUAUGACAGAGAGAGUGAAAUUUAUAUACUUCCCAGGCUAAAGAGAUAGAAAUCAGGGCUCAGAGAAAAUAAAGUGUGCAGGCUGAUACAGUCAGUCAGUGACAGAGGUGGAUUAAGAAGAAUCCAAGCAUCUCUGAUUUGCAGUGGUUGUGCUACCAAGUUCUCUAAUUCCAAAACUACAUUUACAUUGACUAGCCAGAUAAAACAGGUGCAGACCAGUCUGAAAUUCAGGAGUUCUAAAUUCCUGUCUCCAUCCCAUUUGGCCUGAUUUAGUGCUCCCAGGCAACAUGACAUCACAAUUAAAGGCGUGGCCUCUCAAAUCACCCAGACCUGGCUUUACAUCCCCAUUCUUCCAUUUACCAGCUCAAGGAAGUUUCACAGGUUGGGUUCUCCAAGGCUUAAUUCCCUCAUCUGUAAAACAAAGACUAUUAUGAACCUUAAGUAUGACAACACAUUUAACAAUCAGUGUUGCAUAAACCAUUGUUCCUAGCAUUUCGCUUUGUGCUCAUUUCGCUUUUCCCAACUAUAUAUGUAUAUACAUAUAUACAAAAUAUGUAUAUAAUUCUUGGAGUAAGGAAAAUGAAAAUUCAUAUAAGAUGCUGACCACACACAGAGACCCCUCCCCCAGAUUUACAGUCUACCUCUUGGACACCUUGGAAUAUUGCAAAGUUUCUUGAAAAUGGAUGUACCAGAAGAAUUUAUUUGAACUGAAUAAGUAGUAUGUCUUACAUAGCUAUGUGACUGCAUUUUUUUUAUCUCUAGCUUUAAGAUGGCAUAAUAAAUAGAUUGAAAAGUUACUAAAAAGCUUUGCUGAAUUGCAGUAUAUAUUUUAUUGAUGAACAAAUGGUUAGAGUGCCACUGUAAUUGUAGAUGGGGUAGGAAAGGAUUGCUUUGUGAAAGUAUUUGAUAUUACUCAAAAGGGAUGGGGAUUAACUUUAGUUUUCAAACCUCCGAUCAGCAUGAAUUUAUAAGUAUGUCUAAAAUCAAAUGGCUCCACAUAAUAUUUAUUUAUUCCUCGAGGCUAGAGGAUUCCUUUUCAUUUAUAGGUUGGAUUCAUUGCCUUGAAUGUAUCCCCACAACUAAAUAAAGAUCAGAUUUGAUGAAAUAAUCUUAGUUAACAAUAGAUGCCCAGUUUUUUCCUUGUCCCCUUUUAAUUCUGUUAUCCCAAAAAUGUAGGAUUGAAAUACAGUAGUCAUAAAUGUAAAGGUGAGAAACUCAAUUAUAAUGCCAGGGAAUUCAUUCAAAGACACCCUGAAAUCUCUAUACAAAUAUUAAGUGGUGAUAACUGCAUUAAUAUACUUGUGUACAUAAAGUCAGAAUAUCUCUAUAUCAUUUACCGUGUGCUUAGUCACAAGUAAUAGGAAGCUCAAAAGGCAUUAAACAUUAAGGAAACUAUUGGCUUUAAUAGCUGGAAAUUCAGAGGUAAGGUGAACUUUGGAGGAGGCAGUACCCAGUGGUUCUGGUUGGGCUCUCUCCCAUCCUCUGCAUAAUGUGAUCCUGAUCCUUAGGAUGGAGCAAAAUAGCUUCAGAAGACACCAGCCCCACAAAAAUGGCCACAGCCAAGAGAAGAAAAGUAGCUUUCGGAACUCUCUCAGAAAAGAGAGAGAACUUUGUUUCUGAAUCUCCAGCCAAUUCCCCUCAAAUGCAUUUGGUUAAAAUUGACUUACAUGCUUACUUGUGCACCAGUGUUUGAGGUGGUAGAGUGAUGGAAUUCUGGCCACGCAAGGUCAGUUUCCCCUGAGGUACUUGGCUGCACAAUAAAAGAGUAAUGAAUAAAAUAAAACUGGGAUUCUCUUGGGAAAGAAAAAGUGGAGAGCAUGUACCUUUUUUUUUUUUUUUUUUGGAGAACAUGCACUUUAACGUAGGCAACCAUCUGUGUCCUCUACCUCAUCCAAUAUCUACCCAUUCACUUUUAUAAGAGUUAUUAACUUAGUUAAGAUCCUGAAACACUAAUACUCCUUCUGAUUUACCCUUGAAAGAGAAUACCAGUGUUUAAUGUAUUAAAUAAAUUGUCUUGAACUAUGAAGUUCUAACACUGCUGGCAAGCAACCAUGUCACAAAGCAUGGACAAGAUUAAGUUUAAAGGCUGGGAUAAAUCCAAUAUAGGAAAGGAAGCCUCUGCAAUAUGCUCUAUGCUCAUAUAUAAUGGUGCAUAUCGCCUCUUGAAAAUGUAAACCAGAAAAUUUCAUGCAAACUAAUAUUAGAGGAAAAACAAUGUUUCUCAUGGAAAGUACUCAGCUUUAGAAUAGGCAUGCAGCAGUAGAUAGUAUUUAAGAUUCAUAUAAUGUCAGAUAUUACUAUAAUCUGCAGAUUAAUUUUAGCUAGUGAUCUGUCCAGAACCUAAUAACAAAAAUACUUCCCUGGAAAUAAAAUUUUACCUACAAAAAGAUUUAUAUAUGACUGU
rnacentral:lncRNA from 1 species